CCUACGUGAGGCAGCAGUGAGGAAUAUUGGUCAAUGGGCGCGAGCCUGAACCAGCCAAGUAGCGUGAAGGAUGACAGCCCUACGGGUUGUAAACUUCUUUUAUAAAGGAAUAAAGUGAGGCACGUGUGCCUUUUUGUGUGUACUUUAUGAAUAAGGAUCGGCUAACUCCGUGCCAGCAGCCGCGGUAAUACGGAGGAUCCGAGCGUUAUCCGGUUUUAUUGGGUUUAAAGGGAGCGUAGAUGGGUUGUUAAGUCAGUUGUGACAGUUGGCGGCUCAACCGUAGAAUUGCAAUUGAUACUGGCAGCCAUUGGUACAGUUGAGGGAGGCGGGAGUCGUGGUGUAGCG
rnacentral:rRNA from 1 species